UACGUAGGGUGCAAGCGUUAUCCGGAUUUACUGGGCUUAAAGGGUGUGUAGGCGGGCUUGUAAGUCAGUGGUGAAAUCUCCGGGCUCAACCUGGAAACUGCCAUUGAUACUAUUAGUCUUGAAUUUUGUUGAGGUAGGCGGAAUAAGUCAUGUAGCGGUGAAAUGCAUAGAUAUGACUUAGAACACCAAUUGCGAAGGCAGCUUGCUAAACAAAUAUUGACGCUGAGGCACGAAAGCGUGGGGAUCAAACAGG
rnacentral:rRNA from 1 species